rnacentral:misc_RNA from 1 species
GCAAACUUGGUCAUUUAGAGGAAGUAAAAGUCGUAACAAGGUUUCCGUAGGUGAACCUGCGGAAGGAUCAUUAAGGUGACUGAAGAUUUACUGACCGAGGAGCGGGGGGAUAUGUGGUGGUGUGUUUGGAGUUGGUGCUGGGUGUCAGUGCGCGGCACCCGACUGCGGCACCCACCACAUGACAACCACAUGACAACAGAACAGAACACAACACCAAGAAACACAAAACACACAACUCCCAGCAGCGGAUCUCUUGGCUCCUGCAUCGAUGAAGAACGCAGC